UGGGGAAUAUUGCACAAUGGGCGCAAGCCUGAUGCAGCCAUGCCGCGUGUAUGAAGAAGGCCUUCGGGUUGUAAAGUACUUUCAGCGGGGAGGAAGGUGUUGUGGUUAAUAACCGCAGCAAUUGACGUUACCCGCAGAAGAAGCACCGGCUAACUCCGUGCCAGCAGCCGCGGUAAUACGGAGGGUGCAAGCGUUAAUCGGAAUUACUGGGCGUAAAGCGCACGCAGGCGGUCUGUCAAGUCGGAUGUGAAAUCCCCGGGCUCAACCUGGGAACUGCAUUCGAAACUGGCAGGCUAGAGUCUUGUAGAGGGGGGUAGAAUUCCAGGUGUAGCGGUGAAAUGCGUAGAGAUCUGGAGGAAUACCGGUGGCGAAGGCGGCCCCCUGGACAAAGACUGACGCUCAGGUGCGAAAGCGUGGGGAGCAAACA
rnacentral:rRNA from 2 species